rnacentral:lncRNA from 1 species
ACCUGGCAUACGUGAGAACUUGUCUCGAGGACAAAAGCUCAAGUGCUCGCUCAGAGGUCAAGAGCGCUUGGCACACAAUCCUGAGAACUGGAGUCGUGUCCUGGGACCUACAUAAGGGACCACGGCAGAGGAGACAGAAGAAUCACUGGGACUUGAUACUUCCAACUCCGCUAAGAAACCCUGGCCCUGAGUUCCACGAUAGACCCUCCCUCCUACGAAAGGAACAAGCAGAGAUGACUAGAAAAGGAUAGCCCUCGCCAAGCGGUGGUGGCACGCAGCUUGGAGCCCAGCACUGGGAAGGCAAAGGGUGUUUCUUUGUGUAGCCCUGCCUGUCCUGGACUCGAUUUGAAGACCAGAUUGGUGUCAAACUCACAGGGAUCAGCGUGCCUCUGCCUUCCGAGUGCUGGGAUUCAUUACCAUUGCCCAACUCCACUGAAUGGAAACUUAGGGCUGGUCUGGUAUGGAUCAUGAGGAGACCUAGGGACUUGUCUGUCCCCAAGAAGGGAAGGUGCUCUGCGCUGAGACUGGGGUCCCUGUCACUCUCCUCUGUUCCUGUGAGUGCCACAGGCCUGGAGCAUGCUGAGGUAGAGGCAAGCCAUCCUCUCUUGGCUCCGGUUGCUUCCUUAAGUAGGUGCGGUGCGGCUGUUUCCUUUGCAGAGUCCGGCAGCAGCUCUCUUCCCUGACAGCCUUUCCUCGGCUCACUUGAGCCACGAGAAAACUCAGAAGACACAGAAACAAGUGACUGAAAGAGUCAUGCCACCCUUCCAAAUUCUCUGCUGCCCACACAAACUCCCACACAGAGGUGCUGGGGUCAGGCCCACUCUUCUCUCAAAUGCCCCUCUGUCGUGGGGAAAGCUGUGGGGGCAAAGUGACAGAGACAAUGCCCCGCCCUCUUUGUGUGUGUGUGUGUGUCUCAUGCAUGUUCUCGUGCACGUGCCUAGAGGGAGAGUUGGCACAAGACAGCAACCAGAAAAACUCAAUCUUGUGGCUCCCCACUUAAAUGUCUUGCGACUCAUUCCAAGACAAGAGAAUUCAAGACUUUGCAUCUGUUUCAGCGACGGUCACCAGGAAGGAGAAGGGGGCUUACUGCUGUCUCAAAUGAUGAAGAGUCACACAAUAUAAUGCUUGUAUAUGCCAUCCAAUCACGUGACUGCUGUGCACCACAAAAUAAAAGCAACACGUAUCUG